rnacentral:rRNA from 1 species
GAAGUGGAGCAAUCCAUGAGUACAGUGGCGUACGGGUGAGUUAACACGUGGGUAAUCUACCUCUUAGUGGGGAAUAACCAGGGGAAACUCUGGCUAAUACCGCAUAAGCCUGAGAAGGGAAAGCAGCAAUGCGCUGAGAGAGGAGCCCGCGGCCGAUUAGCUAGUUGGUGGGGUAAGAGCCUACCAAGGCAGAGAUCGGUAGCCGGCCUGAGAGGGCACACGGCCACACUGGCACUGAAACACGGGCCAGACUCCUACGGGAGGCAGCAGUGGGGAAUCUUGCACAAUGGGGGAAACCCUGAUGCAGCGACGCCGCGUGAGCGAUGAAGCCCUUCGGGGUGUAAAGCUCUUUCGUCAGGGACGAUAAUGACGGUACCUGGAGAAGCAGCUGCGGCUAACUACGUGCCAGCAGCCGCGGUAAUACGUAGGCAGCAAGCGUUGUUCGGAGUUACUGGGCGUAAAGGGUGUGUAGGCGGUUCUUUAAGUUUGGUGUGAAACCUCCCGGCUCAACUGGGAGGGUGCGCCGAAUACUGAGGGACUAGAGUACGGGAGAGGAAAGUGGAAUUCCUGGUGUAGCGGUGAAAUGCGUAGAUAUCAGGAGGAACACCGGUGGUGUAGACGGCUUUCUGGACCGUAACUGACGCUGAGACACGAAAGCGUGGGUAGCAAACAGGAUUAGAUACCCUGGUAGUCCACGCCCUAAACGAUGCAUAUUUGGUGUGGGCAGUUCAUUCUGUCCGUGCCGGAGCUAACGCGUUAAAUAUGCCGCCU